GACGAACGCUGGCGGCGUGCCUAACACAUGCAAGUCGAACGGGGUAAAGACUUCGGUUUUUACUUAGUGGCGAACGGGUGAGUAACGCGUGAGAAACCUGCCUCUCAGUGGGGGACAACAGUUGGAAAUGACUGCUAAUACCGCAUAAUGUUUUCGGACCGCAUGGUCUGAAAACCAAAGCUUUAUGUGCUGAGAGAUGGUCUCGCGUCUGAUUAGCUAGUUGGUGAGGUAACGGCUCACCAAGGCGACGAUCAGUAGCCGGUCUGAGAGGAUGAACGGCCACAUUGGGACUGAGAUACGGCCCAG
rnacentral:rRNA from 1 species